AUUGAACGCUAGCGGGAUGCCUUACACAUGCAAGUCGAACGAGUGGCGGACGGGUGAGUAAUAUAUCGGAACGUGCCCAAUAGCGGGGGAUAACUACUCGAAAGAGUGGCUAAUACCGCCUACUAUUGGAUCUGGCGAUAUCGGAUUAGCUAGUUGGGGGGGUAAAGGCUCACCAAGGCAACGAUCCCUAGCAGAUUUGAGAGGACGACCGGCCACACUGGGACUGAGACACGGCCCAGACUCCUACGGGAGGCAGCAGUGGGGAAUCUUGGACAAUGGGGGAAAGCCUGAGCCAGCCAUGCCGCGUGUAUGAGAAGGCCUUCGGGUUGUAAAGUACUUUUGGCAGAGAAGCGGUAUCUGAAGAAUAAGCACCGGCUAACUACGUGCCAGCAGCCGCGGUAAUUC
rnacentral:rRNA from 1 species